ACUCCUACGGGAGGCAGCAGUGGGGAAGUCUUGGACAAUGGGCGGCAAGCCUGAUCCAGCCAUGCCGCCGUGAGUGAUGAAGGCCUUAGGGUCGUAAGCUCUUUCGCCAGAGAUGAUAAUGACAGUAUCUGGUAAAGAAACCCGGGCCUAACUCCGUGCCAGCAGCCGCGGUAAUACGGAGGGGUUUAGGCGUUGUUUCGGAUUACUGGCGUAAAGCGCGCGUAGGCGGAUUGGAAAGCUAGAGGUGAAAUCCCGGGGCUCAACCCGGAACUGCCUUUAGAACUCCCAGUCUAGAGUUCGAGAGAGGUGAGUGGAAUUCCGAGUAGUGAGGUGAAAUUCGUAGAUAUUCGGAGGAACACCAGUGGCGAAGGCGGCUCACUGGCUCGAUACUGACGCUGAGGUGCGAAAGUGUGGGGAGCAAACA
rnacentral:rRNA from 1 species